GCGGCGUGCUAUACAUGCAGUCGAGCGAACUGAUUAGAAGCUUGCUUCUAUGACGUUAGCGGCGGACGGGUGAGUAACACGUGGGCAACCUGCCUGUAAGACUGGGAUAACUUCGGGAAACCGAAGCUAAUACCGGAUAGGAUCUUCUCCUUCAUGGGAGAUGAUUGAAAGAUGGUUUCGGCUAUCACUUACAGAUGGGCCCGCGGUGCAUUAGCUAGUUGGUGAGGUAACGGCUCACCAAGGCAACGAUGCAUAGCCGACCUGAGAGGGUGAUCGGCCACACUGGGACUGAAACACGGCCCAGACUCCUACGGGAGGCAGCAGUAGGGAAUCUUCCGCAAUGGACGAAAGUCUGACGGAACAACGCCCCGUGAGUGAUGAAGGCUUUCGGGUCGUAAAACUCUGUUGUUAGGGAAGAACAAGUACAAGAGUAACUGCUUGUACCUUGACGGUACCUAACCAGAAAGCCACGGCUAACUACGUGCCAGCACCCGCGGUAAUACGUAGGUGGCAAGCGUUAUCCGGAAUUAUUGGGCGUAAAGCGCGCGCAGGCGGUUUCUUAAGUCUGAUGUGAAACCCCCCGGCUCAACCGGGGAGGGUCAUUGGAAACUGGGGAAACU
rnacentral:rRNA from 2 species